rnacentral:rRNA from 1 species
CCUACGGGGGGCGGCAGUGGGGAAUAUUGGACAAUGGGGGGAACCCUGAUCCAGCCAUGCCGCGUGUGUGAAGAAGGCCCUCGGGUUGUAAAGCACUUUCAGUGAGGAAGAACGCCUGGUGGUUAAUACCCAUCAGGAAAGACAUCACUCACAGAAGAAGCACCGGCUAACUCCGUGCCAGCAGCCGCGGUAAUACGGAGGGUGCGAGCGUUAAUCGGAAUUACUGGGCGUAAAGCGCGCGUAGGUGGCUUGAUAAGCCGGUUGUGAAAGCCCCGGGCUCAACCUGGGAACGGCAUCCGGAACUGUCAAGCUAGAGUGCAGGAGAGGAAGGUAGAAUUCCCGGUGUAGCGGUGAAAUGCGUAGAGAUCGGGAGGAAUACCAGUGGCGAAGUCGGCCUUCUGGACUGACACUGACACUGAGGUGCGAAAGCGUGGGUAGCAAACAGGAUUAGAUACCCGUGUAGUC